CUAAACUAGUGGCCCCAGUUUCUGAAAUUCGGUCCAUGUAUUUUUUCAAAUCCAUGUCUAAAAACUCAAAAACAAGAUACAACUUUGAUUCAGCAUGUAAAAUAUCCAAAAGUCUUAAAAAAGGGUUAGAAACAAAGUUUUAUCAAUGUAAACAUUUCCCAUGCAUCCGUCAAGUAAAAACUUACCGAACACAAUUUGAUCGAUUAUUCUCAUCAUUCACUUCUUUAAGAAGCGAAAUUUCACGAAUAGCUGUGCUAGGAACUCCCUCAGAUUCAUCUUCAAGGCGAAUUUUUUUCAUGGCCACAAUACGCCCUGACAAUUUAUGUCUUGCUUUAUAAACAACGCCAUAGGUUCCUAGCAUUAGUCAGUAUACGUGACAGAAAAGAAAUUGGAUAAGUCAUAGCUUCCUCAGUUACACCUACCUUCCCCAAUUUUUUCGACUUUUUGAUAAUUCUCCAUUGCAAACCACUAAAAGAAGCAACCUAGCGGUAUGUUUUUUGGAAAAUAAUUUUUCUAAUAUCUGUUAAUAGAGAUGCGAGAAUGAUCUCAAAAUACGUUUAUACAAAUUUGCUUAUGUUGUGUUGUGCUGUGGGUAAGCUUGCUCAACUAGCGAUAGACUAGUGGAAACGCAGAGGACUAUUAUCAAACCGAACUUAGGGCUAGCGCUUCAUGUUUCUAACUUAUGAAUUAUACUGUUAUCAAAAAUGAAAUUAGAAAAGUAGGACAUAACUCAUUACUUGCAAUUUAUACUAGGUGAUCAGAUAUGAAGAACUACAUAAUCAAAACAUCAUCUGAAGACAUUGUAUAACCGUG